UAAGGAAUAUUGGACAAUGGAGGCAACUCUGAUCCAGCCAUGCCGCGUGAAGGAAUAAGGCCCUAUGGGUUGUAAACUUCUUUUAGACGGGACAAAACCCCUUUACGUGUAAAGGGUUGGUGGUACUGUCAGAAUAAGCAUCGGCUAACUUCGUGCCAGCAGCCGCGGUAAUACGAAGGAUGCAAGCGUUAUCCGGAAUUAUUGGGUUUAAAGGGUGCGUAGGCGGACUAAUAAGUCAGUGGUGAAAGCCUGCGGCUUAACUGCAGAAUUGCCAUUGAUACUGUUAGUCUUGAGUACAGUUGAGGUAGGCGGAAUGUGUCAUGUAGCGGUGAAAUGCUUAGAUAUGACACAGAACACCGAUUGCGAAGGCAGCUUGCUAAGCUGUAACUGACGCUGAGGCACGAAAGCGUGGGGAGCAAACA
rnacentral:rRNA from 1 species